ACGGUAGUAGUUUAAUGGCAGAAUUCACGGUUGUGGUCCGUGAGACGGGAGUUCGAUUCUCCUCUAUCGUC
rnacentral:tRNA from 1 species